GCCGGGUGUGGUGGUGCAUGCCUGUAAUCCCAGCUACUUGGGAGGCUGAGGCAGGAGAACUGCUUGAGCCCAGGAGGUGGAGAUUGCAGUGAGCCAAGAUCAUGUCACUGCACUCCAGCCUGGGCAACAGAGCAAGACUUUGUCUUAA
rnacentral:SRP_RNA from 1 species